ensembl:lncRNA
GGCGGGUCACUCCAGGCUGCUGCAGUCGUCGUCACUGUCGCUGCUAGUUGUAUCAUCCAGGAUGACCGGUGAAGGACUCGGAGGAGGAAGACUGAACUGCUGGGGACCUGGAAUGUAGAAGAUCAUCGUUAAGCGUACAAUUUGGUGACAUGGGUAAAGCUCCAUCAAACUGUAAAAGGUUCAGCACAUCCCUCUUGCCCCUCAAACGCUUCAAGAGAAAGCUAUGUAAGUCUCAUUUCAAGUAUUUGAUGGUUUGCUGUUCAUGCAUACCUUCAUGGACUCUGCUUUCUCUCCUCUUUCUUCCGUCACUCCGGUCACCGCUGCACUUCAGCCAGUUUUUAAUAACUGCCUCGCAGUCGCUGGCCGAAAUGUUCUGGCUAGCCGAUGCACCUAAACAGAGAAAGUGUUUUUAUUUAGUUUAUUUAACAUUGAUUUAUUGAGGAGGAAAGAUCCUUUGAGAUUAGUAAUCCGUUUUUCAUGUCCUGGCCAAUAAUACAAUGGUACAAAGUGCAUUACAAGUGUUUAAUGACAAGAUGCAUGCAGUACACUCCAUGGUUAUUCAAAAGAAAUGAAUCCAGCUCAAUGAGUGAUUUGUUUACAUACCUCUUACUGCAUUGCACACCUUGUAGGAGGCAAAAGCCUGCUUCUUCCCUCCUCUGCCAAGCCAGUUGAAUUUCAGCGCGAAGUGGUUGGUGAGGAUGUGGCGAAGGAUUCUUCGAACCUCGUCACCAGGAUUGCAGCCCCCAAGCGCACUAAGGUGUGCUGCCUGCAGGGUGCUCCUGGUUUGGGCUUUUUUCAGGUUCAUACGCGCUGCAUCAUAAUUGGCUGUUGAAGACAACAAUGAAGUCUCAUCUGGCCUAGCGCUUUGGAUGACUGCAACUUUCGUCCGCUUGGUGUCUUUAUACGGUGGCCAAAAAGACACCUUGCCAUCCAAACUUAGCCACGAGCAAGGCACAACCUCCACCUCGUUUGACUCGGUUCCCAACCACAGCUGUCCCCAGUGCAGUUGAAUCAACAGGGUGGUUGAAAAAUGGACGUUGGUCUAAAUAUUGCCUCGCCACAAAAGACGUACCACCAAGUGUCCUGCUAAUUGCCUCUAUUUUAAAAGUGGCACCACCACACAAAACUGUGUUGUUCCCAUCCUUUGUGGACAGGGUAAAUCUAUCAGUGGCGUACUGUGUUGUUGAGGG